ACUAACGGCAGGAUGUCUAAGCACUGAAAUCCCAGCAGGUUCCUACUGGUAGUCCACUAUAUGAAGGUUUUGAAGAAUCCCCUGUGCUGAACCAACAGCAGCAGGAUGCUUUGAACACCUUGGUGUGGUAUCUGGGAGAUUGGGUGAGAUUUCAACACCCAUCACUUGAAAGACGCUGACUACUUUACAGCACUUUUGAGGGAAAGGAAUAUGGGAAACUGUAGAUACUGUGGGAGUGAAAUUAAUCAUUGUUUUGGCUUGGAUGUGAUCCAAGGCUCAAAUCUUCUUUCUCCCUCCCUAGAAUUGCUGACGUCCUGGAUGAAUAAGCAAAAGCCAUCGUUCAACCUGCCUACUACAGAAAGUGUCCACCUAGAGAAUGCAUGCAAACUGCUCUGAAUUUUGUUAUAGCAUAACUGGAAUAAAACCAUCGUUCCUGCCCAAGGUUCUAGUGCAAUGUAAUGUCACUAAGAGACCUGUGGACAACUUUACAGAGACCAUAAAGCUAACAUCAUGUUGAUGCUGGUGGACCACUGGCCUACAACCUGGACCCAAAUAGUCUCUUAGGACCAAUAUGGGACACAGUGUAGUCUCAAACUGGGGAACUGGAAACUUUAAUCACCUAAUAUGAAACGGCUAUUAUUUGUCAAAAAACAGGUGACCAUUACUAUCAAACAUGAUACUGGCUGGAUAGUCAGAAUUGUGACAGAAAUAGAACAAACUGCUGAACAUCAUUGGUAUGAUGUUUUUAUGAGAUAUGUGCCAUCUGCAAAUGGCAUAUUGAAUCUUAUGUUACAGCCCAUGAUCAUUGUAUUAUCCUGCUGUAUUUUAUUAGUUUUGCUAUUAAUAUGCUUUUAUAUCCAUGCUUAUCACAUAUCUUGCCACACUGUGUGCAUCACCAGUUGUUACCUGAUUUGGACUUAUGUGUGUGCUCAAAUCUUCCCCCCACCCUUAACCCCCGUGAGGCAAGUGAAGGAACAGUACCUCCGCUUGUCACAGCAGUGAGGUGGCUGGGUGUUUGGUCUAUGACAAGGGGCAAGUGUGAAUGUCCACUCGGCUCUGGUUUUGGCCUCACUCACAGUUCUUGCCGUGGCCUGACAUGUGCUGGAGCAGCCAUGGGCACAGCGGGAGCAAUGUGUGGGCAGGACACAGCGACAGAAGAUAAAAGGGUCACUCUCCUGCCAUUGUCACCUCUAGCCCACUGUCCCCUGCAGCUCCCUUCUCCUGCAGAGGAAUUUCUGAAUUAAUGAAGUGAUGAAUCAGAGAAUUCAUAUGUUGCACUAGUCUGCACAAAGAGCAUUGAGACAACACUUGAUUUAUUUUUUAACUUAGUGAACUCCUGAGAUAAAGAUUAAUUUUCUGAGUAUGUUGUCCUGUAAAUUUUAGAGAUCCAAAUGGACAGUGACAUUUUGACAUGUGGCAGAGGUGAAAAACUGGCAGAGAAAGUGAAAACUGGCAAGUUUCUUCCUUCAAUUGACGUGUUUCUCUGAUUACUAAAGUUUAUUUAUAUUACACGUAAGAUGGGUACACUGUGCAUAGCAUGAAAUACCUGUGAAUCAUUGGAGAUUUAAACAUCUCUUAAGUAAUAACACUAUUUAUUUUUUAAAAAGAGAGAGAGCUCUGUUCUAGUCUUUCAGGAUGAGAAAAAUCUUGGCCAGAUCAUCUGAGCCUUUCAGAUAUGAGUUAAAAUUUCUCACUUUUCUUUGUCUGUCACUAUUUCUGUAGGUGUUAGAAGAAUUGCUUCGAGAUGUGCCUUGAUCUGGAAAGAACCGGGUGAAGUAAGGUUGUUUCCAUCUGUGCUUGUGAGGGUUUACUUUAGGCAUGAUUAUUCAAGUUCAGAUGUUUAAAUGUUCGCUCUUUCUUUUGUUUUAGCUUAAGAGAAUUAUUCUUACCCAUGCAAGAGAAGAUCCUAAUCCAAACCUCUUAGCUUCCUCCAGGGACCUCUGCUGCUGUAAGAUUUUUUACUUGGUUCCUCCUUCCCUUCCCUGCUGUUGUCCUUAUCUAGGGAAUUUUCCUCUGCCGAAGGAGACUACAAAGCUUCCAGCAUGCCGUGCAUAUCUAACAUACUGUCCUGGAGUCAGCUGCAGAGUCACCAUUUCUGUCUGUUAUCCAGUCAAUGAAAAUAGAUUCUCAGUCCUACAAUUAUGAAUCACAACACAGUUCCUGGCUGCCUUGCCUGACUUUGCUUGCUGUAUGUGAAUAAAGGGGAAGAUGGAGGGGUGAGGUUUUCCAAGAAAAAGGCCAUGCCACUAGCUAGCUACUGAGUCAAAUAAGCUAAUUCCAAAUCUGCUCAAUAGCUUUCAGUGGAAAACUCCCUUUCCCUUCUAAAAAGAAGGUCUGUAAUCCUUUGGUGUUUGGCAAGAAAGCAAGCUGGUUGAAAGUGUUCUGGAAAAGCUGCUUCCCAGCUCUCUAACAGCAAGUGUUUGCUCAUUAGUAGGUGUCGUUUGCUAGAACUGACUCCACUGCGGCCUCUCAAGUACUGUCAGUCAGUGGCUUUGAUUGCUGGGGAUUUCUUGGAGCAAGUGACAAAUGUUUCCCUUCACCUGAUGCUACUGAGAAAAACGGCAAUUACCAAAACUUUGUAUCUUGCUGCUUAAGCCUCGGCUUCUGUGUGUGAGGCCAAUUGCCACUCUCUGAGAUCAAGGGGGGUUCAGUUUGAAGUAUCAGGAUAUACAGACAUACAUGUUCCACUGUCUCUCCUGUAUUUGUAUCAGGACUAAACCAGCAACAGGUUAAAGUGUGGGUGUAGAGGGAAACUCAGGGAACUUAAAUUGCAAAAGAGAUUAGUGGCCAUGUUACACAAGACUAGUGGUUUAAUUCAAAGGCAUGUUGAACCUAGCACUUCUUUUGUGUCUGACACUGGUAUAUUGCUCAUAACAUCACUGUUGAGGGGAAGUGAAUGUGGAAUUCACCUGCAUUUCCCUCUUAUAUUUUAUUGCCUGUUCACUUGGAAUUUGAGUAAUUAUUUGGUAAAGAGCCUGGUAGAAAGGACAAAAAGUGUAUACAGAAAAGUUCGUCAUUAUAUUAAUUUUCUUUGAUUAUGAGUAAACAGUAUAUAUAAGAAGAACCAAUCCAUAGUCCAGUGAGAAAACGGCAAUUUUAAUAGCAAACAAGUAGACGAUGAUGUAAAUCCAAUUCUGCAGAGAUGUGGCAAAAGAAUAGCAACAAAACUUGCUGUGGAGAGGUCUUUAAGGUCUCAUGUUUGGAGGCCUGACAGCACUUUGUGCCCUCAACACUGCAUCGGCGCUGACUGCAGAAGCUGGGGCUGGGCACAUUUCUUUUGCUGACUCUGCCAUGGGAUGUUUAUCUCUAACAGAGCAAGCAGCCCAAGCCAGAAAUCCUGCAACAGCUCAGGGAGACUUGCCAGGUUUCAUCUGUCAACACCCUUGCUUGUCUAUUUCAUGGAUCCACCAUGUGGAUCCAUGGGAAGUGGUUAAUGAAGGUCUUUAAGUUGCAGUUAGCAGCCUUGCAAGGGAAAAGUGAGGCAUGGAGUUCUCAGUUGCUUGGAAAAAAAAAAAAAAGUAGCAGGGAGGUAUUCUUUCUGGUCCCAAUGAGAAGUAAUAAAAACUGGGGGGAGGAUCUGCUCUGAUAUCUGGUUCAUGUUGCGGCAAGCCAUCCCUGCACAUCCUUUCUCUGUGGGCUGAGGUGACCUGAGGGUAUUUGGAGCUAUGGCUGUGGUUUGGCACAGUUUUAAGUGACAGUUCUUUUAGGUUUGGAUUUUCCUGUCCUGUUGCUAGUGUCACAAAUAGUUUACAUAAUGGUUGUCAGUGAGCAAGUAGGAAGUACAAAAGUACAAUUCAUUAUCAUCAGGAAAGUCAAGCUGAUGUGUGAGUCAGCUUCCCAGGUCUCAGGAGGAGAAGAUUCUAUUCCCUUGCUCUACCCAGAGCUCCUGCAAGAGUAACUCCACCUGGGAUACCUUAUACAAAGAAAUCCUAGAUGUCCAUCUCAUGCCUAUAGCACCACAGAGAUGACUGAUGCCUUAGGGCAGCAGAUCCCAUUCAUCCCUCACAUAAUCUCUCUGGGGAAGUAGUGGAUUCCCUAACACUGGAUACUUUUAAGAUUCAGCUGGGCAGGUUGCUAUGCCAUCUUGUCUCAACUGUGCUUUUGCUGAGAAAGGUUGGACCCUUCCAACCUCAUAUUCUAUGAUUCUAUGAUGGACUCACUGUGCAUGUGCUACACAGCAGUUGUAUGUCUGGUGAUACUGGGGGUCACAUACCCCAGGCAAAACCAGGCUUCUGGACACAUGGACAUAUGUGAUGGUCUCAGUAAGGAGAGAAAACACUUGAGACUGAGUAUUUAAGUGGUCUUGGACACUCUCUCAUUUGAUUUCUGCUGUGCUCAUGAAAAAGGACUUCACAGUGUCUUAGCGAAGAAGCAGACUGCACCAACAAAACAGCAGACACCACCCUCAGUCUGAACAAAGCAAGCUGCAAAAUUCUGAGUUAUUGACUGGUCAUUCAAGUAAAAAUGUAGCAAAAAGCAAGAAUUAAUCAAGUGGAGGUGGUGAGGAUAGAAAUAUUAGAGCUUUAAUAGCUUCUUUGCACAGCACUCACUGAGGCCAGUUAGCCAACUAAAGACUGCAUAUGAUUGAGUUGGACAGGAGUCCCUGAACACAUUCUCCUCUACAUCCUAACUGAACAUACAGUGUUGUUUUUUUCAGCAAGAAACUCUUCAAGAACAUUUAAGUGCCAGGAAAAGUCUUGUGAUGACUGCCACACAGAGUAACUAAGCUGAAUGAUUAGCACUUGAGAUUUGUUGUGAAUUUAGGUGCUUCUUCAGCUCAUGAGCUUUAUAUACGUGGCAUGCAACUUUCUGUACAUUAUUUGUUAUUCCAUCUGAAUCAAGUAGAACCUUAACCUAGGAACUAGGGUCAUGACAAUGAAUUUCUGUGGCUGAUCUGAACCUGCAUUAAUCUCUAUGUUGUUUUCUCUCCGCAAUAAGUGGAAUUAUAAAUAGUCCAAGAGAAGCAUUGAAUGCUGAGUGUACAAUUGCAAGUAAUCCCUGUGUGUUGUGUUUUGGUAGAUGAUGUAGCUGAUAGAUGCCUUGAGCUCUCGUAGUCAGAGAGAGGCUCAAAUCUUCACUUGUGGCUUUGCAUUUUCUCAAGAGCCAGGGAGCAUGUUAAGGAGAAGUUUAAGCAACUUUACCUUCAUGAAGAAUGCCACCUGGGACAAGCAAUGGAAAUACUUUUGAUUUUGGAUAUUAUUAUGAACUUACAUGAACUUACAGAUUUAGAAACUGGCCCUCCAUGUGUCUGGGAUUUGCAGGCUAAAGCUUGAUGGCUGAAGUUCCAGAAGACAAACAAAGUCUCCUUUACAAAAAUAAACACCUACUGAGUGUGGUCCUGCC